rnacentral:rRNA from 1 species
CCUACGGGAGGCAGCGGUGAGGAAUAUUGGUCAAUGGACGAGAGUCUGAACCAGCCAAGUAGCGUGAAGGAUGACUGCCCUAUGGGUUGUAAACUUCUUUUAUAUGGGAAUAAAACGUUCCACGUGUGGGAUUUUGUAUGUACCAUAUGAAUAAGGAUCGGCUAACUCCGUGCCAGCAGCCGCGGUAAUACGGAGGAUCCGAGCGUUAUCCGGAUUUAUUGGGUUUAAAGGGAGCGUAGGUGGAUUGUUAAGUCAGUUGUGAAAGUUUGCGGCUCAACCGUAAAAUUGCAGUUGAAACUGGCAGUCUUGAGUACAGUAGAGGUGGGCGGAAUUCGUGGUGUAGCGGUGAAAUGCUUAGAUAUCACGAAGAACUCCGAUUGCGAAGGCAGUUCACUGGACUGCAACUGACACUGAGGCUCGAAAGUGUGGGUAUCAAACAGGAUUAGAUACCCUAGUAGUC